GAUGAACGCUGGCGGCGUGCCUAAUACAUGCAAGUCGAGCGAACAGAUGAGGAGCUUGCUCCUCUGACGUUAGCGGCGGACGGGUGAGUAACACGUGGAUAACCUACCUAUAAGACUGGGAUAACUUCGGGAAACCGGAGCUAAUACCGGAUAAUAUAUUGAACCGCAUGGUUCAAUAGUGAAAGACGGUUUUGCUGUCACUUAUAGAUGGAUCCGCGCCGCAUUAGCUAGUUGGUAAGGUAACGGCUUACCAAGGCAACGAUGCGUAGCCGACCUGAGAGGGUGAUCGGCCACAAUGGAACUGAGACACGGUCCAGACUCCUACGGGAGGCAGCAGUAGGGAAUCUUCCGCAAUGGGCGAAAGCUUGACGGAGCAACGCCGCGUGAGUGAUGAAGGUCUUCGGAUCGUAAAACUCUGUUAUUAGGGAAGAACAAAUGUGUAAGUAACUAUGCACGUCUUGACGGUACCUAAUCAGAAAGCCACGGCUAACUACGUG
rnacentral:rRNA from 1 species